rnacentral:tRNA from 1 species
GGGCAGUUGGCGCAGUUGGUAGCGCACCAGAUCGACAUUCUGGGGGUCACUGGUUCGAGCCCAGUACUGCCCA